GCAUAUCAAUAAGCGAGAAAAGAAACCAACAGGGAUUGCCCUAGUAACGGCGAGUGAAGCGGCAACAGCUCAAAUUUGAAAUCUGGCGUCUUUGGCGUCCGAGUUGUAAUUUGCAGAGGGCGCUUUGGCAUUGGCAGCGGUCCAAGUUCCUUGGAACAGGACGUCACAGAGGGUGAGAAUCCCGUACGUGGUCGCUAGCCUUUACCGUGUAAAGCCCCUUCGACGAGUCGAGUUGUUUGGGAAUGCAGCUCUAAAUGGGAGGUAAAUUUCUUCUAAAGCUAAAUACUGGCCAGAGACCGAUAGCGCACAAGUAGAGUGAUCGAAAGAUGAAAAGCACUUUGGAAAGAGAGUUAAAAAGCACGUGAAAUUGUUGAAAGGGAAGCGCUUGCAGCCAGACUUGCCUGUAGUUGCUCAUCCGGGUUUCUACCCGGUGCACUCUUCUAUAGGCAGGCCAGCAUCAGUUUGGGCGGUUGGAUAAAGGUCUCUGUCAUGUACCUCCUUUCGGGGAGAACUUAUAGGGGAGACGACAUGCAACCAGCCUGGACUGAGGUCCGCGCAUCUGCUAGGAUGCUGGCGUAAUGGCUGUAAGCGGCCCGUCUUGAAACACGGACCAAGGAGUCUAACAUCUAUGCGAGUGUUUGGGUGUCAAGCCCGAGCGCGUAAUGAAAGUGAACGGAGGUGGGAACCUUUCGGGGUGCACCAUCGACCGAUCCUGAUGUCUUCGGAUGGAUUUGAGUAAGAGCAUAGCUGUUGGGACCCGAAAGAUGGUGAACUAUGCUUGAAUAGGGUGAAGCCAGAGGAAACUCUGGUGGAGGCUCGCAGCGGUUCUGACGUGCAAAUCGAUCGUCAAAUUUGGGCAUAGGGGCGAAAGACUAAUCGAACUAUCUAGUAGCUGGUUCCUGCCGAG
rnacentral:rRNA from 1 species